AACAUGUCGAAUUAAAACAUCUUAGUAAUCAGAGGAAAAUAAAGCAAAAGUGAAUUUCUUGGUAGCGAUGAGCGAAUUGGAA
rnacentral:rRNA from 1 species